rnacentral:rRNA from 1 species
AUUGAACGCUGGCGGCAUGCUUUACACAUGCAAGUCGAACGGUAACAGGCCUUCUGUUGCUGACGAGUGUCGAACGCGUGUGUAAUUCAUCGGAACGUACCCCGUGUUUGGUGAUAACGCAUCGAAAGCUGUGCUCAUACCUCAUGUGAUCUGAGUAUGAAAGCGGGGGACCUUUCAGCAAUUUUUGCCCUCUCGUCUUUGUAGCUGCCGAUGUCGGAUUAGAUAGUUGGUUGGGUAAAGGCCUACCAAGGCGACGAUCCGUAGCUGGUCUGAGAGGACGAGCAGCGACACUGGGACUGAGACACGGAACAGACUACUACGGGAGGAAGCAAUGGGGAAUAUUGGACAAUGGGCGGAAGCAUGAUACAGCAAUGCCGCGUGCGGGAAGAAGGACUUCGGGUUGUAAACAGAUUUUGGGAGGAAAGAAAAGGUGUAAGAUAAUAACGGGAGAUAAUGACGGUACCUGAAGAAUAAGCACCGGCUAACUACGUG